rnacentral:rRNA from 1 species
AGUGAACGCUGGCGGUAGGCCUAACACAUGCAAGUCGAACGGCAGCACAGUAAGAGCUUGCUCUUACGGGUGGCGAGUGGCGGACGGGUGAGGAAUACAUCGGAAUCUACUUUUUCGUGGGGGAUAACGUAGGGAAACUUACGCUAAUACCGCAUACGCCCUACGGGUGAAAGCAGGGGAUCUUCGGACCUUGCGCGAUUGAAUGAGCCGAUGUCGGAUUAGCUAGUUGGCGGGGUACAGGCCCACCAAGGCGACGAUCCGUAGCUGGUCUGAGAGGAUGAUCAGCCACACUGGAACUGAGACACGGUCCAGACUCCUACGGGAGGCAGCAGUGGGGAAUAUUGGACAAUGGGCGCAAGCCUGAUCCAGCCAUACCGCGUGGGUGAAGAAGGCCUUCGGGUUGUAAAGCCCUUUUGUUGGGAAAGAAAAGCAGCAGGUUAAUACCCCGCUGUUCUGACGGUACCCAAAGAAUAAGCACCGGCUAACUUCGUG